rnacentral:lncRNA from 1 species
GAUAGAGAGGAGUAGUCCUAUAGGACUUGAGAGGUUAAAUCUGAGAGUUUGUGGCUAUAGCACUAUGUUUGAAGGAAAAGAGUUUCUAUGAGGAUCACAAUUAGAUUUGAGCUGAUCGAAUCAAUCAUAUGACGGAUGAUGAGGUCUGAGGAUUUAUCCAUGAUCUGUCAUCUAGUCGAGACUCAUGAUAGAAGGACUGAAUCACAAGUUAACUAUACCUUGAG